rnacentral:rRNA from 1 species
GAUGAACGCUGGCGGCGUGCCUAAUACAUGCAAGUCGAGCGAACAGACGAGGAGCUUGCUCCUCUGACGUUAGCGGCGGACGGGUGAGUAACACGUGGAUAACCUACCUAUAAGACUGGGAUAACUUCGGGAAACCGGAGCUAAUACCGGAUAAUAUAUUGAACCGCAUGGUUCAAUAGUGAAAGACGGUUUUGCUGUCACUUAUAGAUGGAUCCGCGCUGCAUUAGCUAGUUGGUAAGGUAACGGCUUACCAAGGCAACGAUGCGUAGCCGACCUGAGAGGGUGGUUGGCCACACUGGAACUGAGACACGGUCCAGACUCCUACGGGAGGCAGCAGUAGGGAAUCUUCCGCAAUGGGCGAAAGCCUGACGGAGCAACGCCGCGUGAGUUAUGAAGGUCUUCGGAUCGUAAAACUCUGUUAUUAGGGAAGAACAAAUGUGUAAGUAACUAUGCACGUCUUGACGGUACCUAAUCAGAAAGCCACGGCUAACUACGUG